AAUAAUGCCAACCUUCCUCUAUGACACAUCAGUGUUUAAAGUUUGGAGCCGAUCAGUUGUCUCUAGGUAUCGCACGGUAAUCAAAACAUGAAACGCUUUUUAUAAAAUUUACCAGAGGGCACCUGUACAUGCCAACAGUUACCUGAACCUUUCUAUAGUUACAGUACACCAGCGCUGAAAAUUUGAAGCCGAUAAGAUGAGACAUUCUCAAGUUAUGUAUAAUCAUGAAGUUUGGGGAUAGAAAAAAUCAAGCAAGUACUAUAGGGUUCCAACAGUGAGCUAUCCUCCCUUGAUGGGAGGAUAGUUCACUGUUGCUAGUGACGGGGUGAUCCAACGAACUAAAGUUAUUCUCUCCUUGAAUCAGGUAAACUGUAUGGGUUUAGCUCUUCUUCAUGAUUCAAAUAAUAAUUCAAUAACAUAUUAUUAUAACAAAUAAGUGGUUAACCCGUAAGGGUGAGAGAGCGCCUGGUAACACACUAACGUGUGUAUGUGUGUUAAGGUGAACUAACAGGCAAUGAAAUAGCCUAGAAAGUGACGUAGUGGAGGCGGGAACUAUACACAGUUUUCAGACGAGGUUUGAUAAAGCUCAUGGAGCAGGGAGAGAGGACCUAGUAGCAAUCAGUGAAGAGGCGGGGCCAGGAGCUAUGACUCUCGACCCCUGGAACCACAAAUAGGGGCGGCGGCAGCGGUGGUCCAUGCAGCGCGGGGCGGAAGGAAGGAAGGAAGCCGAAGCACCGCUUGCCUGACUACGUCUCAUUGCUCGCAGGACAAGUGGCACACGAAGAGGAAGGAUGGAUGAGUACCAUUCAUUGAUCCACUGGACGUGGCGCAGGCCAGCGUGAACGACUCACAUCCAGUGGGUCGGCAGUUCGUGUCUUCCCCUACGUAUUCUUACAUUACUGACAGUGCUACAUAUAUAUCAUUGAUCAGCUACACAUCAUCAAAAUACAGGUGAAUAAAAAUACUAGCAGUGUUAAAAAUAUCCAGGAACGGCUGAGAAAGAGUAAAGGUGGUAAGUUAGUAAACAAAUAUCUCACACUCACGGGUGGAAGAACCAUUUAAAACCAAUUCUUGCGUCGUUGAAGUACCUUAAGCAAGAAAGAUGAAGCACAAUCUUGCUGUAAGCAAAUAUCAGCCAGACUCAAAUCAGCUGUUAAGGAGCCAUAACAAACCUGAAAGAUGAAGAAACUAAAUUAGACAAUGAAUUAAAUAAUCUGGAACAAUGAAAAAACUAAAUCAA